GAUGAACGCUGGCGGCGUGCCUAAUACAUGCAAGUCGAGCGAACGGACGAGAAGCUUGCUUUUCUGAUGUUAGCGGCGGACGGGUGAGUAACACGUGGAUAACCUACCUAUAAGACUGGGAUAACUUCGGGAAACCGGAGCUAAUACCGGAUAAUAUUUUGAACCGCAUGGUUCAAAAGUGAAAGACGGUCUUGCUGUCACUUAUAGAUGGAUCCGCGCUGCAUUAGCUAGUUGGUAAGGUAACGGCUUACCAAGGCAACGAUGCAUAGCCGAACUGAGAGGGUGAUCGGCCACACUGGAACUGAGACACGGUCCAGACUCCUACGGGAGGCAGCAGUAGGGAAUCUUCCGCAAUGGGCGAAAGGCUGACGGAGCAACGCCGCGUGAGUGAUGAAGGUCUUCGGAUCGUAAAACUCUGUUAUUAGGGAAGAACAUAUGUGUAAGUAAAUGUGCACAUCUUGACGGUAACUAAUCAGAAAGCCACGGCUAACUACGUG
rnacentral:rRNA from 1 species